UAUAUAUAUCAGGUUAAGUUCAAAACAAAAAUAGAAAUAAACUAAAACUAAACAAAAAUAAUACCAAAUUGGUAUUGUAAUCCUUGCAAGCUCCUCAAUGAUCCGCUGGUUUACUCCAACCAGUGCAUUAUUGUCCAAUAUGAUAUUAUAUCCCACUAUAUACAAAAGGAUUUGGUAGAUAGGUAAACAGAGAGAGUGAUUGAUUGUAAAAUUGAUAUAUUAUACAAAAGGGUUAUAGUGUUCUUCAUCCUCUUGAAAUACUCAAGACAACAGUAAAUCUUAUGUUUUCCAUUUUUCGCUUUUAUUUUCCAAUUUUUUCCUUGAGGAAAUUUUCAAUGACACUUUUGACAUAUGAUGAGACAUCUCAUUUAUUUUUUAAUGAAUGCAACAAAAUGUACUAGAGGAGUGUCGGCAGCAGCAGACUCUGAUACAUCUCCAUCAAAAGCAACAAGAGUAACAAUGGGCCAGCGUCGAAAGCAACAAUGAGCCGCAUCUCCAUCAAAACCUUAAAGCAUUAGGUAUAUGGACAAUUGCAUAAUUUGAGAGGAAUUCUUGUUCCCUGCAAUUCUGAUCAGCGACUUGGUUUGGAGAAUUAUGCAACUAUUAUUAUUUUUUUCAUGGUUUAUUCUACACCUAUUUUUCACAGCGUAAUUUUGUUGUACAUGCUGGUGUUAACAGGGUUACGUGGAUUUGGUGUAUUUCAUAAGUGUCGUUUCUCAAACGUACUGCAACAUGUUAAUUUUGCUGUCCGAAGUGGAGAAAUUGGAUAUGAGUGCUUCUGGAAUAUGUUAUAUAUUUUUAAUUGUUGCUUGGCUUAAUUGGGCAUGAUUAUCAUUAUUCAUCAUUGCCAUUGGUCAUGCUCAUGUUUUUUAAUAUGUUUAUGUAUUGUUUUCGAAGAAUUGUUCUUAGCUUGUGGUCAGGCUGGUGUUGGAGUUUGUGUGUUUCAGUAUCCGGAACCUGCUCUUCCCAAGAUGAAGAAUUUUGGACGACUUGGUUACAUCUGGCCCGGGACUCCUGUGUUAGGAGGAAGCCAAAAUUAUGUCACACAUCAUCUGCAGGCUUUAAUUUAGUUAUCUAUCUGCAGACUCUUUACAUUUCUGUCUAUGUUUGAUACUCAACAUCUACUUUUGAGUUUUCUAUGUGGGUGAAACAAGGGAGAUAGCCAAUAAAUUUGCUGGGUUGCCCGUGGAACCCAUGGCAGGCGGAGGUUCUCAUAUUUCCUAUUAAACUAGUCAUAUUUGAAUGAUCUGCAGCUACUAAUGAAUUGUUUGGGUUUUAAUUGAUUUCUCUUCCAAUUCUCGUUUGAUCACGUGCACCUUUUGCUUAUUGCUUUUAAAAUAAAAAAAAUUAAGAUAUUAGUUUAUUCAUUUUGUAGUGAGCUGAUUUUUGAUUUCUGGAUAUCUGGAUGAAUUUGCAAUUCUUGAUGAUAAUGGAUACAAACGAUAAUAGCAGAGAUACAUAGAUCAAAUUUCUUCAAUGAGUCUUUCUUUAUUAUUUUUGAUUUUGAGAUUUGAUCAUAAGACACAAAUUAAAUUGUGAACCUAUUUUUUUUGCAGUGUAGAUUGUCAAAAUAAUGAUCUUCUUUCAUCAUAGCCAUGGAGCCACUUGUUUUUGUUUGUAUAUUUCUUUUUAAAGCAUAUAUUUUCUUGAUAUUUUAUUUCCUCUGGUAUUGUGGGGACGAUACUAAUUUUCUUUCUCUUGUUUGAUCUUCCGAUUUUGUAUUCUGAUUUUUUUUUCCUUUCUUGUCUUUUGAUUGUGAGGUUUGAUUUGGUUCUGACUUUAAUCCAUGCUUGUUUUCUGCAGUGCAGUAUGUUUUGAAACAACAACUUUUGAUUAGUAUCAAGCCUUCGGUUUAUUUUGAGCUUGGCGGGCUUAUCUUCGUUAUGCUGAUCUGUGACUUGAUAUCUGAGUAUUAGGAGAGCUUUUAGAAUGUAUAAUUUUGUUGUGGAUCUGUCUUUUUCAAGGUUGACAUGGAAGAAGCAAAAAAACAAGAAAUGAAAAAUUACAAUCUGCUUUGCACGAGAUGCAACUUCAGUUCAAAGAAACUAAGUCAUUGCUUCAAAAGGAGCGCGAGGCUGCAAAAACAGAAGCAGAGAGAGUGCUUGUCAUACAGGAGUAUAUUUUAUACUUUGAAUUAUUAAUCACUUGCUGGAGUCCAUUGCAGACCUUGGUGACUUCAUUGGAAAAGAAAAUUGAUGAAACAGAGAAAAGGUAUGUAGAGGCAAAUAAACUUAGUGAAGAAAGUUUGAAGCAAGCUUUGGAUGCUGAGUCGAAAAUAAUCCAGUUGAAAACUUCUAUGCGAAGGUUUUGAUUUCAAAUUAACGCUUCGUUGGUAUCUCGUACAUAUUUAAUUGAUAUCAUUUAAAAUAUUACCUGGCUUAACUCUUUGAAGUAGUUACCAUUUGUUGACCAUUAAAUUGCAAAAUGUAUACCAUCUUGACCCUUUUUACUUAAAUAUUCUGAGAUAUGGAAUCUGAAAAUCAAGUUCUUCGGCAACAGUCUCUGUGAAAACGAUGUUAGAGCACCUUUCUACCCAUGUAUAUGAGAAGUUGGAAAAUGGUCCCCAUUUGGUAGAAGAUCAGAAAGCUACUGAAACACAGACUGACACACCUGUGAAAAAGUUCGUACAGAGUUAGAUAGAAAAUUAAGGAGAUCAUACAUUGAACGUCAACAUGAAAAUGGUGAUUCCCUUAUCAAUUGUGUUAUGAAAAAUAUUGGAUUCCAUCAUGGAAAGCCUAUUGCUGCAUUCACCAUUUACAAAUGUCUUCUCCACUGAAAAUCGUUUGAAGCUGAAUGGACAAAUGUAUUUGAUCGCCUUAUCCACAUGAUUGGUUCUGCAAUUGAGAAUCAAGACAACAGUGAUCUCAUGGCUUACUGGCUGUCAAAUACAUCUGCACUAUUGUUUCUGCUCCCACAAAGUUUAAAAUCCGGUGGUUCAAAUGACGCAACCCCCGUUAGAAAACCACCAAAUCCAACAUCCCUCUUUGGCAGAAUGACUAUGGGUUUUCGGUCAUCUCCUUCGUCUGCCAACCUUCCUACCCCAUCGUAGGUUGUACGCAAAGUAAAGGCUAAGUAUCCUGCUUUGCUUUUCAAGCAUCAACUCACAUCCUAUGUGGAGAAAAUAUAUGGUAUCUUGUGGGACAACUUGAAGAAAGAGUUGGCAUCAUUUAUUUUGUUAUGUAUCCAGGUUUUUUGAAUACAAUUGUUUAACUGAAUCUGAAUGAGAUAAGUAAAGUUGAAUGUCCUAUUAUAAUCCUCGGUUCUCAUAUCUUGUCCAUAUAUAAUAUCUGCCUUUUCGAGAUACUUUAUUGUUUCUAGAAAUUUCUAAGAGGUCUCUGGUCCUCCGAUGUGUUUCCUGUCUUUCCUCCGGAUGGUCAUAAGAUUCUAGAGGUGGUAAAGUUGAAAUCCUGGAGUUGGUUAAGUGCUAUGUGGACUGGUUUCAGAUUUCCGAUUUCUUUGUGGUUUAUUAAUCCCAUAGGAUGCUUGGGUUUUUUUGAUUUGUAUAGCAAUUACAGGCAUAAUUAUGUUGUAUAUAGUUGUUAGGUCCCUAGUACUGCUAUAUGUGUGUUUCGGUAGGUGUGCUAUUCCAGUUUUUCAUUGUAUCCGGCUGGUUUGCAUUCUCUUCUUGUAAUUGUCUUCUAAAUUUUGCACUUAUUCUAAAAUUGUGUUUCAAAUUAUCAUAUACUUUUUUUUUUAAAUACUAUUACUCAUGCAAUUUGUAUUGCUGAUAUACAGGCACCAAGAACAUCUAAGGGAGUCUUAAGAUCUGGCCGAUCUUUUAGUAAUUAUUAUUGAAUCCUUCAUCACUAUUCUCUAUACGAUGAAAGAGAACUUUGUGCCUCCUGUCCUUGUCCAAAAGAUCUUCUCUCAAACAUUUUCAUAUAUUAAUGUUCAAUUCUUCAACAGUCUUCUUCUGCGGCGUGAUUGUUACCCAUUCGGUAAUGGAGAAUAUGUGAAGGCUGGUUUAGCAGAAUUGGAGCUGUGGUGCUGCCAAGAAAGGAUGAGUAUGCUGGGACAUCUUGGGUAAGUGUUUCUUGGUAAGUUGGAUUCUUGGUAAGUGUUUCUUGUUUCAUAAGAUGGCACCAUUUAUCUUACUGAUGUUGUUACAAAAUUUUGAUAAUCAAUGUGGUUUACCAUGCAUCAUGUUUUGUUUCCUAUUGUAAUUAAUUAAAAUCAGACAAUUUCACCAUUUGGAUUUUUUUGACAAAGUAAUUCCUGUCUAAAAUACCCAUGUGGCUUUGCACUGUACUUCUUUUAAACCGUUUUAACUGUCAAAAUGAAUCUUUUAUUGCCAAAAACCAGGGGUGCAAACUUUUAACUUUAAUAUUUUGGUGUAAAUUUGGUAUUAUUU